AAUCGGCACAUGCAUUAGCAAAAUUAUCAGAACUUCUAAUAUUGAAAAAAAAUUUGCUUUCGUAAUACAUUUCUUUAUCGCAAUUGUGGUUUGUUGUUUUCGUUUUGAAAAAUUUGAACGAUUUAGCAACCCUUUUUUUCAUAUUCAAUAUUUGAAACAAAAUCGAAUGAAUUUAUUACUUCAGUUGUCAAAAUGCAGUCGUCAACGCUAGUUGCAAUAAUUAUUUCCACUUUAAUUUUGUGUCAAGUUGCCGUUGAGGCUAGGAGAUGCAAUACGGCUUGCAUUCAAGUGCAACAACCUGUCUGCGGUUCUGUAGCGAUCCCGGGAGCUGUUAAUUUUAAAAGAUGCACUUUUGGUAAUAGCUGUAAGCUGGGCGUUCAUAAGUGCAAGAGUGGAGAGAAUUGGAAAAGUCAACCAGGUGCCUGUCAUACAGAAGUUAAUUGUGGUGCUAUAAGGGGCUGAAUGCCAAAGAUCGAAAUAUUAAUGAUAUAAUAUUAAAAAAAAAAACAAAUUAUUAAUGAAGUAAAUACGUUUACUUAAACUAAA